rnacentral:snRNA from 1 species
GAAUGUGAGGGCGAUCUGGCUGCGACAUCUGUCACCCCAUUGAUCGCCAGGGUUGAUUCGGCUGAUCUGGCUGGCUAGGCGGGUGUCCCCUUCCUCCCUCACCGCUCCAUGUGCGUCCCUCCCGAAGCUGCGUGCUCAGUGGAAGAGGAUGACGUCCCAGGUAUAGAAGGAGAAUCAUAGAAUCAUAGA